UGGCUCAGUUGGUAGAGCAUGGUGUGUGCAACACCAGGGUUGUGGGUUCGAGUCCCAU
rnacentral:tRNA from 1 species